rnacentral:rRNA from 1 species
UACGUAGGGUGCAAGCGUUGUCCGGAAUUAUUGGGCGUAAAGAGCUCGUAGGCGGUUUGUCGCGUCUGCUGUGAAAACCCGAGGCUCAACCUCGGGCCUGCAGUGGGUACGGGCAGACUAGAGUGCGGUAGGGGAGAUUGGAAUUCCUGGUGUAGCGGUGGAAUGCGCAGAUAUCAGGAGGAACACCGAUGGCGAAGGCAGAUCUCUGGGCCGAUACUGACACUGAGGAGCGAAAGCGUGGGGAGCGAACAGG